rnacentral:rRNA from 1 species
AGGAAUAUUGGUCAAUGGACGAGAGUCUGAACCAGCCAAGUAGCGUGAAGGAUGACUGCCCUAUGGGUUGUAAACUUCUUUUAUACGGGAAUAAAGUGAGGCACGUGUGCCUUUUUGUAUGUACCGUAUGAAUAAGGAUCGGCUAACUCCGUGCCAGCAGCCGCGGUAAUACGGAGGAUCCGAGCGUUAUCCGGAUUUAUUGGGUUUAAAGGGAGCGUAGGCGGACGCUUAAGUCAGUUGUGAAAGUUUGCGGCUCAACCGUAAAAUUGCAGUUGAUACUGGGUGUCUUGAGUACAGUAGAGGCAGGCGGAAUUCGUGGUGUAGCGGUGAAAUGCUUAGAUAUCACGAAGAACUCCGAUUGCGAAGGCAGCUUGCUGGACUGUAACUGACGCUGAUGCUCGAAAGUGUGGGUAUCAAACAGGAUUAGAUACCCUGGUAGUCCACACAGUAAACGAUGAAUACUCGCUGUUUGCGAUAUACAGCAAGCGGCCAAGCGAAAGCGUUAAGUAUUCCACCUGGGGAGUACGCCGGCAACGGUGAAACUCAAAGGAAUUGACGGGGGCCCGCACAAGCGGAGGAACAUGUGGUUUAAUUCGAUGAUACGCGAGGAACCUUACCCGGGCUUAAAUUGCAGAUGAAUUACGGUGAAAGCCGUAAGCCGCAAGGCAUCUGUGAAGGUGCUGCAUGGUUGUCGUCAGCUCGUGCCGUGAGGUGUCGGCUUAAGUGCCAUAACGAGCGCAACCCUUAUCGAUAGUUACUAGCAGGUCAUGCUGAGGACUCUAUUGAGACUGCCGUCGUAAGAUGUGAGGAAGGUGGGGAUGACGUCAAAUCAGCACGGCCCUUACGUCCGGGGCUACACACGUGUUACAAUGGGGGGUACAGAAGGCAGCUACACGGCGACGUGGUGCUAAUCCCGAAAGCCUCUCUCAGUUCGGAUUGGAGUCUGCAACCCGACUCCAUGAAGCUGGAUUCGCUAGUAAUCGCGCAUCAGCCACGGCGCGGUGAAUACGUUCCCG